rnacentral:rRNA from 1 species
GACGAACGCUGGCGGCGUGCUUAACACAUGCAGGUCGAACGGGCCUUGUCCCCUUUUUUUUUGGGGGUGGGGUUAGUGGCGAACGGGUGAGUAACACGUGAGUAACCUGCCCCUCACUUCUGGAUAACCGCUUGAAAGGGUGGCUAAUACGGGGUGUUCUGGCCUGCUCGCAUGGGUGGGUUUGGAAAGAUUCGACCGGUUUUGGUUGUUUUGGGGGGGGAUGGGCUCGCGGCCUAUCAGCUUGUUGGUGGGGUGAUGGCCUGCCAAGGCUUUGACGGGUAGCCGGCCUGAGAGGGUGGGCGGUCACACUGGGACUGAGACACGGCCCAGACUCCUACGGGAGGCAGCAGUGGGGAAUAUUGCACAAUGGGCGCAAGCCUGAUGCAGCGACGCCGCGUGAGGGAUGGAGGCCUUCGGGUUGUGAACCUCUUUCGCCAGUGAAGAAGGUCCUGCUCUUUGUGGUGGGGUUGACGGUAGCUGGGUUAAUGAAGCGCCGGCUAACUACGUG